rnacentral:lncRNA from 1 species
UCAAAAUCAAAACAAAUAAAAAUUAUUGGUAAAAUAACUCCCUUUUUUUUAAAGAAAAUUCUUGUUAAUAUUGCCUUAUAAAUGAAAAGUCAAUGUCCUUGUCAUAUAAUUAUUAAGUUUUCAGUGUGGACACUUUUUAUAUUCCAUUUAAAAAAAUUGAACGGAAGAAUAGGGGUUUCAGAAAGGAAAAGUUAAAUACAAAAAAUUAAAAAUGUUGAUAAAUUGUGGCAAUCGUUCCAAAUAAAUAGGGGUCAUCUGAUAUUGCAAACAAUAAGUUAAUAUGCUGCAUAUGAAAAACAGAUUGUCAAUAGGCUUGAUAAGUAAAAUCAUGUGCAAAAAAAUAUUAAAAUUGUUGUUUUUUUGGCUGGAAAAAUGUCGAAAAAAAAACCCAUUUUUUUGUUAUGUUGCUAUGGAAAAUUUGGUUACCAUGGUGACUCAGGAAAUUUUAAAUAGUUCAUUUACUCUUUAAAAUUACAUAGUGAAUAUGGAAAUGUGAAUUGAUAAGAUAUUAAGACAUAUUUUAAAUUUGAGUAUGUAAUAAAUGUGUUUUGUAUGGUUCUGUUUCCAUCAACUUGAAAAAUGGAUCAUUUUAUGGUUGCCUAGCAACGGAAACGCUGUAUGUUUCCGACUCAUUUGAAUUUUGUUUUAUGAAGUCAAAGUACCAAUAGUUGUUGACAUAUGCAUGAUAUUAAAUGAUCUUUCAGAUAACUUGAGAAAAAGACCAAUGAAUAUGUUGUAAAAUUUCAAAAUUGUCAAUAAAUUCUAAGAAUCAAAACUAUGUAAUGCUUGGCUAGCAGUCAAAUUUUUUUU